rnacentral:rRNA from 1 species
GCUUAACACAUGCAAGUCGAGCGAGAAUCGUUUUGCUGAAGGCUUCGGUCCGAUGCAGAAUGAGGAAAGCGGCGAACGGGUGAGUAACGCGUGGGCAACCUGGCCUUAAGAAAAGGAUAGCCCCCGGAAACGGGGAGUAAUACUUUAUGAGAAUAGAAAAGGGCAUCCUGUUUCUAUUCAAAGCGCAAGCGCUUAAGGAUGGGCCCGCGUAUCAUUAGCUAGUUGGUGAGAUAACAGCCCACCAAGGCAACGAUGAUUAGCCGGUCUGAGAGGGCGAACGGCCACAUUGGAACUGAGAGACGGUCCAAACUCCUACGGGAGGCAGCAGUGGGGAAUAUUGCGCAAUGGAGAAGAACUCUGACGCAGCAAUACCGCGUGAGCGAAGAAGGUCUUCGGAUCGUAAAGCUCUGUUAUCAGGGAAGAAGAAAAUGACGGUACCUGAUGAGCAAGUCCCGGCUAACUACGUGCCAGCAGCCGCCGUAACAC